rnacentral:rRNA from 1 species
CCUACGGGAGGCAGCAGUGAGGAAUAUUGGUCAAUGGACGAGAGUCUGAACCAGCCAAGUAGCGUGAAGGAUGACUGCCCUAUGGGUUGUAAACUUCUUUUAUCUGGGAAUAAAAUGUUACACGUGUGGGCUUUUGUAUGUACCUUAUGAAUAAGGAUCGGAUAACUCCGUGCCAGCAGCCGCGGUAAUACGGAGGAUCCGAGCGUUAUCCGGAUUUAUUGGGUUUAAAGGGAGCGUAGGUGGAUUGUUAAGUCAGUUGUGAAAGUUUGGGGCUCAACCGUAAAAUUGCAUUUGAAACUGGCAGUCUAGAGUAUAGUAGAGGUGGGCGGAAUUCGUGGUGUAGCGGUGAAAUGCGUAGAUAUCACGAAGAACUCCGAUUGCGAAGGCAGCUCACUGGACUGCAACUGACACUGAGGCGCGAAAGUGUGGGGAUCAAACAGGAUUAGAUACCCCAGUAGUC